UACGGGGGGUGCGAGCGUUGUUCGGAAUUAUUGGGCGUAAAGGGCGUGCAGGCGGUUUUGUAAGUCUGAUGUGAAAGCCCCGGGCUUACCCCGGGAAGUGCAUUGGAUACUGCAAGACUUGAGUUCGGGAGAGGAGAGUGGAAUUCCUGGAGUAGGGGUGAGAUCCGUAGAUAUCAGGAAGAACACCGGUGGCGAAGGCGGCUCUCUGGACCGAUACUGACGCUGAGACGCGAAAGCGUGGGUAGCAAACAGG
rnacentral:rRNA from 1 species